UCAUCACUCCGCAGUCUGCCCCCCAGCCCACUGAUAGCAACCAUCAUAAUGCCCCACCCAGCUUCCGGCACCUUUCGCCACUCCGGCACAAACCGACACAGCUUUGCGAUCUCCCCAGCAUGCAGAGUCUGAUGUCUUCCCUAUAGAUGAUUCCAGAGACUCUGUGAGGCCACUAUUGCAAGGUGAGACGCUUUGCGUUGAUUGGUGCUGCUGGACCACACUGGAGGUGCGAGUCCGCCGUGUAAUGGUUUAUGCCAUUACAAAGGAGCUGGCCUCUGUACUCAACUGGGCAGGGAAAAAAUACCAAGGACCAGACAAAGCAAAAAAGGGCAUUUAAAGAGACAGCGCCGUGCAGAUGCAUAUUUGAUGGCCUGGCGCAGCAGGUAGGGGCGAACUCUAUGUCUGAGUUGGUCUUUGCUCAAGCAGUCCAGAAAUGGCUCAGAUAUGCUCCAGAUCGUACGGGUGGCGCGCAGGACACACAUCAUCCAUCCCCAUCCCGGAGUAAAUAAUAAAAAGUGACGUGAAACAUAGAAAUGUAAAUAGGAAACUUUGUCUUUUAAUAAAGUAUUUUGCAAAUGA